GAUGAACGCUGGCGGCGUGCCUAAUACAUGCAAGUCGAGCGGAAAGACAAUGAGCUUGUUCCUUUGACGUUAGCGGCGGACGGGUGAGUAACGCGUGGAUCACCUACUUAUAAUUCGGGGAUAAUUACGGGAAACGGGAUACAAUACUGGAUAAUAUUUCGAACCGUAGGGGUCGAUGGUGAAUGAUGGCUUUGCUGGAUCUAAUAGCUGGAUCUGGGCUGGAUUAUGUAGUUGGUAAGGUAACGGCCUAUCAAGGCGACGAUUCGUAGGCGACCGGAGAGGGUGGUCGGCCACACUAGAACUGAGACACGGUCCAGACUCCUACGGGAGGCAGCAGUAGGGAAUCUUCCGCAAUGGGCGAAAGCCUGACGGAGUAACGCCGCGUGAGUGAUGAAGGUCUUCGGUUCGUAAAGCCCUGUUAUUGGGGAAGAACAGACGUGGAAUUAACUGUGGACGUCUUGACGGUACCUAAUCAGAAAGCCCCGGCUAACUACGUG
rnacentral:rRNA from 1 species